GAUCGCAAAUCUCAGCCGCCUCAUCUCCUCUUCGCCUCCUCCUCGCCUCCUCGGCAGUCCACGGCUCCUCCAGGCUCCAGUCCUCCUCAUCGAUCGUCAUCGUCAUCGGCAGCGGCAGCGACUUGGCUCCUGCGUCCUGUCGGCCAUGCGUCCGCGGGUACUGACCGUGACCGAAGCCAACGGCGACCGGCCAGGCGGCCCAUGUCCAGCCGGCAACCGCCCAGAUGCAAGGAAACAGCAGAACUAGACCAUAUGUUUUCUUCAAGCCUGCGAGGCAAGAAGACAGAUUACAGACAGAAGAUUUCACUUCUUCAAUUCUAACCAGAUUCCAAACAGAAGACUUGAGACCCAGUGAGGCGAGGCUAGGCAGAAACGUCAAAAGAAAUUUUUGAGCCUUAUCGCUGACAGUUGGAUAUAAAGGAUAUUAAGGAGUCAAGCAUGAUCAUCUUCUGCAAACUUAAGUAUCAUGCAUGGCGUACCUGCUCGCACCCGCGCCUUGGUCCCUCCGUCUCCUCCCCCUCCCGCCGCCGCCGCCGCCGCUUGCGCUCCGCCCACCCCUCCUCCUCCUGUUCCCACUGCUCAUCAGACAGCACCGGCGGCACGGCGUCGUCGUCGUCGUCGCCGCUCGCAAUCUCCGCAUCCUCCGGGCCACGAGGCGGCGGCGGCCUGACGCCCUCCACCUGCAAAACCAAUUCGUGGCAGAAACGCACCACGCAUCACCUCCAGUGCCACAAUUGCCCACCUUCAUGAACACAGGGGGUUCGCUUUACCACGGUGAUCAGGCUGAGCCCAAGGGAGGCCCGUGCGAUGGUCGCCGGCGUGAAUACAUCGUCGGCGGCGGCAGCAGGCAUCGCUGUAUGAAUAGGGUCACCAUCU